rnacentral:rRNA from 1 species
UACGGAGGAUGCGAGCGUUAUCCGGAUUUACUGGGUGUAAAGGGAGCGCAGGCGGCGUGGCAAGUCAGAUGUGAAAACCCGGGGCCCAACCCCGGGAGUGCAUUUGAAACUGCCAUGCUGGAGUGUCGGAGAGGCAGGCGGAAUUCCUAGUGUAGCGGUGAAAUGCGUAGAUAUUAGGAGGAACACCAGUGGCGAAGGCGGCCUGCUGGACGAUGACUGACGUUGAGGCUCGAAAGCGUGGGGAGCAAACAGG